AGGGUUUGAUCAUGGCUCAGAUUGAACGCUGGCGGAAUGCUUUACACAUGCAAGUCGAACGGCAGCACGGACUUCGGUCUGGUGGCGAGUGGCGAACGGGUGAGUAAUGUAUCGGAACGUAUCCAGUAAUGGGGGAUAACUAAUCGAAAGGUUGGCUAAUACCGCAUACGCCCUACGGGGGAAAGCAGGGGAUCUUCGGACCUUGCGUUAAUGGAGCGGCCGAUAUCUGAUUAGCUAGUUGGUGAGGUAAGAGCUCACCAAGGCGACGAUCAGUAGCUGGUCUGAGAGGACGACCAGCCACACUGGAACUGAGACACGGUCCAGACUCCUACGGGAGGCAGCAGUGGGGAAUUUUGGACAAUGGGCGCAAGCCUGAUCCAGCCAUUCCGCGUGAGUGAAGAAGGCCUUCGGGUUGUAAAGCUCUUUCGCAAGGGAAGAAACGAUGCAGACGAAUAAUCUGUGUUAAUGACGGUACCUUGAUAAGAAGCACCGGCUAACUACGUGCCAGCAGCCGCGGUAAUACGUAGGGUGCAAGCGUUAAUCGGAAUUACUGGGCGUAAAGCGUGCGCAGGCGGUUUUGUAAGUCA
rnacentral:rRNA from 1 species